CAAUAAUGCACCAAAUACCCUCGCGUCUUUCGAAUCACAUAAUAUACCCCUAUUUUUUCGUAUUGUUCAUGAAAUGCACUUGCAGUUAACGGACGUUAGUCCUCCGUUAGCUAUAGUUUACCAUUUUGCCCUUAAUGCAUGUUCUUUGGCAUAAAUUCCAAAAAAUUAAAAAAAUCUCAACUUCUUCUCUUUCUCUCUCCUCUCCCCUGUUCUUCAUCCUGCUCUCUAGUCGCCGGUAGCGGCCGAUCUCCCCUCUCUGUUCGCCGGCGGAGGCCGAUCUCCGAUAUAUGGUCGCCGGCGAGCCUAACUGUUUGACUGAGAUUCUUGGUUCGUUGUUUUGACCGUUCUUGCAAUUUCUUCUGCUAGUGCUGCACCUGCUGCAAGAAUGGGUAUGACUAGAAGAGUGUACCCUCUUGGUUCUUUGAACCCUUACCAAGGGAACUGGACCAUCAAAGUCCGAGUUACCAGCAAGGGGACACUACAAACCUUCUAUAAUGAGAGAGGAGAAGGGAAUGUCUUCAAUGUUGAGCUAACUAAUGAAUAUGGUACUCAAAUACAAGCAACGAUGUUCAAUGCGAUAGAGAAGAAGUUCUUUGACACCUUUGAAGCAGGGAAGGUUUAAUACAUCUCAAAGGGAUCUGUUGAAGUUGCUAAUAAGAGGUUCAACACGACUAAAAAUGACUACGAGAUGACCAUCAAUGAGAACUCAGUUGUUGAGGUAGCCAGUGUUGAAAGGGUAUAUAUCCCUGAAACAAAGUUCAACUUUGUUCCUAUUGAUCAGUUGGGUAUACAUGUUGAUGGAAAGGAUCUUGUAGGCAAGAAAUGCAGCCUUUAACAACAACACUUGUUUCUCACAAUACCAAUCACUUGUAUUUUAUUUUGUAGAUGUUAUUAGAGUUGUUCAUAAUGUUUCUCUGACAAUGAGUAUUUCAAUAACGCAAGGAAACCUGUUAUUAGCAGUGAAAUUCGUUGCCUCUGCCUAAUUUAGUUUCAUGAUAUUUGGGUUUUUUUUCUUCAGAACAACCAAGUUGUUGAGGUAGCCUAAUUUAGUCAUUUCAUGAUAGAGUUAGAAGGUUCAAACUACCUUGAGUUGCUCUUCUGAAAAUUGAAACUGAUGAAUUAUGAGGAGGCAAUGUGACUAGAUUCAAACUAGCCGUUAGAUUCAAUUCGUGCAAUUUGAGUAUUUGGUGCAAAUAACUUUACAAAUAGGUGUAUAUUGUGCAAUAAGUUUAUAAAUAGGGGCAUUUUGUGAAUUAUAAACAUGACUUAACGGAGGACUAACGGAAUGUCAAAUUAGGGGUAUUUGGUGCAAAUUUAUGCAAAAAUAGGGGUAUAUUAUGUGAUUCAAAAGACGCGAGG